UGCCCCGGCGAGGCGGGGCCGGGCGGGAGCGGCCCGAGCGCGGCUCCGCUCGGCUCCUGUGCGGCUGCCGCGGAGCCGGGGCCCGCAGCGAUGGCGGCCGCGCUGGGGCCGUGGCUGCUGCCCUUGGCCUUGGCCUUGUGGCCGCCAGGGCUCUGGGCACAGCCGAGGCUGCAGGAGGCCGGCGGAGGGCUGCGAGCGCCCGGGGACUCCGUCACCCUCUCCUGCCGCGGAUCCGGCUUUAUCUUUAGGAAGUAUGAAAUGUGGUGGUACCGUCAGGCACCCGGAGGCAGCCUGGAGUGGGUGGCCUUUAUCAGCUCCCCCGCGGGCACUACAGAGAAUCUGCACUCAAAUGGCACCACCGUGGUUCCUUCACAAGCACUGCUGUCCAUCAGAAUCAUCCCUCUCCCACCCCGAUUCUCCACAGGCUCCACUUCCCCAGUAUCAUGGCCAAACAGUUUGUGAAUAUCUCCAAGCAUGGAGACUCCACAAGGUGCCUGCAGAUUCCUGGGUUGCCUUUGCUGCUUGGGCAGGGGUCUGGGAGGGCAGUGACAGGAGGAGGCAGCUGGAGAAGUGUCAUCACUGGGGACUGAGUUGGCUGCUGGGCCAGAGUGCAGAGCAGGGUGAGGAGCACUUUGGCUUAGGGGUGCCCUGGCCAAGCCAAGCUGAGAUCCUGGGGUGUCCCAUGUGGGAGCAGCAGCUCAGCAGAGCCAGGCCAGGGGACCAGGGG